CAGCAGCGCGGGAAUACAGAGGGUGCGAGCGUUAAUCGGAUUUACUGGGCGUAAAGCGUGCGUAGGCGGCUUCUUAAGUCGGAUGUGAAAUCCCUGAGCUUAACUUAGGAAUUGCAUUCGAUACUGGGAAGCUAGAGUAUGGGAGAGGAUGGUAGAAUUCCAGGUGUAGCGGUGAAAUGCGUAGAGAUCUGGAGGAAUACCGAUGGCGAAGGCAGCCAUCUGGCCUAAUACUGACGCUGAGGUACGAAAGCAUGGGGAGCAAACAGGAUUAGAUACCCCCGUAGUCCCUGUCUCUUAUACA
rnacentral:rRNA from 1 species